GACGAACGCUGGCGGCGUGCUUAACACAUGCCAGUCGAACGGUGAAGGGACCAGCUUGCUGGUUCUGGAUGAGUGGCGAACGGGUGAGUAACACGUGAGUAACCUGCCCCCUUCUUCUGGAUAACCGCACGAAAGUGUGGCUAAUACGGGAUAUUCUGGGUCUGUCGCAUGGCGGGCCCGGGAAAGAUAUUGCUUCGGUGGGGGAUGGGCUCGCGGCCUAUCAGCUUGUUGGUGGGGUGAUGGCCUACCAAGGCGGUGACGGGUAGCCGGCCUGAGAGGGUGGACGGUCACACUGGGACUGAGACACGGCCCAGACUCCUACGGGAGGCAGCAGUGGGGAAUAUUGCACAAUGGGCGCAAGCCUGAUGCAGCGACGCCGCGUGAGGGAUGGAGGCCUUCGGGUUGUAAACCUCUUUCGCCAGUGAAGCAGGCCUGCUCCUUGUGGGUGGGUUGACGGUAGCUGGAUAAGAAGCGCCGGCUAACUACGUG
rnacentral:rRNA from 1 species